rnacentral:tRNA from 1 species
UCCCUGGUGGCUCAGAUGGUAAAGCAUCUGCCUGCAGUGCUGAAGACCCAGGUUCAAUCCCUGGGUUGGGAA